UUAACUAUUAAAGAUUAAACUCGGAAAACACAAAAUAUGAAUUUUUUGGUCCUCUGGCAAGCACGAACCAGCCGAAGCCGGUGGUCAGAAGACGGGCCUGCCAAAGCAACAAGGUAUUUGUAUACAAGGGUGGGAGAUCUACCCCAAGGGGCAAGUUCUCUGUAAUGAUCCUUCCGCAGGUUCACCUACGGAAA
rnacentral:misc_RNA from 1 species